rnacentral:lncRNA from 1 species
ACGAUUUAGGUCUCCCCGUACCCAAUAUACAUGCAUUCCCUAGGCUCAUGCAUUCUAAAUCCACUCUAUCAUUACACUUUCACUUUUUCUCCCAUUUGCACACGUACACCUUUAUCCCUUCUCCCCUUAAAUAUGGGAUAUAGACGAGUGUGGCUUUUUCUAAGCCUUAGCACGCUUGUAUUCCCUCUAUAAAAGGGCAAAUUAAGUCACGAUUUAGGUCUCCCCGUAC